rnacentral:rRNA from 1 species
AGUGAACGCUGGCGGCAGGCCUAACACAUGCAAGUCGAGCGGCAGCACGGGUAGCAAUACCUGGUGGCGAGCGGCGGACGGGUGAGGAAUACAUCGGAAUCUGCCUUGUUGUGGGGGAUAACGUAGGGAAACUUACGCUAAUACCGCAUAAGACCGAGAGGUGAAAGCGGGGGAUCGAAAGACCUCGCGCGACAAGAUGAGCCGAUGUCGGAUUAGCUAGUUGGUGGGGUAAUGGCCCACCAAGGCGACGAUCCGUAGCUGGUCUGAGAGGAUGAUCAGCCACACUGGAACUGAGACACGGUCCAGACUCCUACGGGAGGCAGCAGUGGGGAAUAUUGGACAAUGGGCGCAAGCCUGAUCCAGCCAUGCCGCGUGGGUGAAGAAGGCCUUCGGGUUGUAAAGCCCUUUUGUUCGGGACGAAAUCGUACGGGUGAAUAUCCCGUGCGGAUGACGGUACCGGAAGAAUAAGCACCGGCUAACUUCGUGC